AAUAAACCCACCUAUGAUUAUAAUCCAUUCAACUAUCAUCAUCUAUUAUAACCACAUAUAAUGGAUUCAAACAAGUUCAACAACAUUAUGUCUACAAUUUACGAAUUAUUUGUAUGUGUGUGUGUGUAAUUGCCAAUUGAUGAUGGUGAAUCCACAUCAAACAAUGGUUGCCAUUUCUUUUUUCACUUUUUACAAAAAAAAAAAAAAAAAAAUGAAAACUAUUGACAUUGAGGGUUGGUGCGCCCAGGUCUCUCCUCUCCAGAUGGAAUCUUCAUUCAUUCUGACGUUUAUUUCGUUGCAAAAGAAGAAAAAAUGAAUUCACGCAAAUUAUCAAGCAUUUGUGUUUUUGUUCAUUUUCAUUGGAAAACCUGAUAUUUUCAAGGCAAACUUUUUCUUUGCUAUACCCAAAGACACAAUGUUGAUGAUGAUGGUAACAUGGCCAUUAACAAUUCUGGUUUUCAACCUCUUCACCAAUACACAAUGACAAACUGCCCCUCCUGUUCAUUGAUGAUCAAUUUGGAUAGAAUAGAAUAAUUUGAAAUAUUCAUGAUACAUUCAAGAUGGUAGCAACAAUUUCAGAUUCUUUUGGAAAUAAUUCCUUUCACCAUUAUAUAAUAGCUAUUGUUCAAUGCAAACAACAAACAAACAGUCUAUGAAUCAAGGACAUUUCUUUUUGGCUAAAAACGAGAAAAAAAACCUGGAUAAUUUCAUUGUUGCGAUUGUAAUACACAAUCCAUUGAUGCCAAUCGAAAUGGAUGAAUGGUCAAUUUAUCCACUUGUGUUAGUGUUGGCAUAGACACACACACACAACACACACAACACAACACUUUACUUGUCAUCAACGCCAAAGAAAAAAAUGAUGGCUACUUUCACGUCUCGACAACAUACAACAGCAGACAUCAUCAUUUCUAUAUGAUGACCUUCAAAAUUUGCCGUGUCGAUCAAUUUUUUUUUUGAAAAUGAUUGAGCCCCGUACCUGUUUCUUCUUUCUGUCUUUGCCUUUUUUGUUCAUGGUUUUAAUCGAAAUUUUGGUUUCAAUGGAUGCAAAGAUUCCUUCAGACUUUAACGUGAAACAAAUACUACAGAAAUAUUGGUAUUCAAACAAGAUUCUAUUUUCUAAUGUCAAUGUUGUUUGCCAACAUUUUUGAAUUUUAAAUUAGAUAGAAAGACAAGAAAAGAAAAAAAUCAAAAAGGUCAACCACCACCACCACCACCAUCGCCAGCAUCAUGAUAAUCAUCAUCGAUGAUGAGGAUGCUAUGUAAUAUUCAACACUUUCACUGCAUUUUUAUAUUUUUAUUAAGCUGCCAAAUUUCAUUAGAAAAAUGGAAAUUUUUUUUCGAUCUAUCUUUUUCGUUGAUUGGCCAACCCGCGAAUCAAAAUUAUAAAUCGAAAACGUUUCGGGAAAAAAUGAAGAAUAAUCCUACCCCUUUUGCACUAAUGAUGAUGGUGUAAUGAACUUUUUUUUGACGUUCGUAAAGUUCGUGAGCUAAUAAUUUGUCCUGAAUCUAUCUACAAGCUACGAUGUGUGUGUGUGUGUAAUCAAACAUAUCAAUCAUUCUGUCAAUGGAAUUCAAUUGCAUGAAUUUCAUGAUUCCACAUCAUCAUCAUCAUCAUCAUAUCGCCAGCAGCAGCAGGUGUAAAAUCAUCAUUGAAAUACAAUCAAAUCAAGAAUUGCUCAAGUACAAGUUGUUUUAUGGAAUCAAAAAAAAAAUCAUGAUUAUCAAGAAUAUUUACAGGCGCAAGCCUUUUUCUACAUACUACUCCUAUUUCCAAUGAAUAUCAUAAGCUUUAAUUGAAAAUUCAUUUCAAUUUUUCAUUCCUAUACACACAAUCUACAAUGGAGCAAUCUUGUGCAAUUCUUUUAUUCUUGGGUUCCAAUGACGCCAAUUUAUUGCUAAAAUGAACAAAAAGAAUUUUACAAUUACAUUGGAUUGCAUCAUAAUCGAAAAAAGGCAUUGUUAAACAAUAGAAUCUGAAAACUGAUCAUCAUGGUUCCAUGUUGCUAUCCGAAUGUGUGUGUGUGUGUGUAUCAACGAUGAAAAUCAACCACCCCAUCACACAUGAAAUGCAGCUAGACCAAAGUGGUGAUGAUGAUGGUAGCAACUUUUUUUUCAUCAAAUUCAAACCAAGUUUUAUUUAUUCACCAUGAUGAUAACUACGCAUUUUUUUCAUGUUGUUCAAUCAGCUUUUAUUUGUAUGGCGAUGUAAUAUUUUUAUUGAGAAAAAUUCAUGCUCGAAUUCAUGUAGUAGUUUUGCCAAUUGAUAUUACAUACACACGUAUAUAUUGAUAGUGGAAACGCCAACGCGCCAUUAUUAUUAUCAUGGUAAAUAUUAUGAGACGCCAUCAUUAUAUAAUAAUAAUAAUUGCGCGUAUUUCUUCUUUCUAUUGAAUUUUUAGGCGUCACGAUCUGGUUUUUUUUUUUUGAAUAUAUUGGAAGUGGUUCGUUGCAACACCAUCAACGGCGAUUCUUGGCGAAUAUUCAACUCCGAAUCAUCGAAUUGUGCAUGAUUAUUACUACUAUAGUGUAUGUUAUACAACAACAAGCAUUUUGAUGAACAAGACACCAUGAUGGAGAAUGUAAUUCUUGUAUUGUUUAAUAUUAUGCUUCUGCCCAUGAUGUGAAGACGGACAUAUCAUUUAUAUAUAUGAUGAUGAUGGCAAGCCUUUUUUUCACUUUCUUUGGUACCAUUUUCAAAUAUCGUAGUAGAAAAAGUUCGUGUAUAAUUCAUACCACGAACCAUAUACACAAAUGGCCAUUUGAUGUACAAGUGUCCAUUAUGCUACCACCACCACCACCAUCAUCAUCACUUUGAUUACCAUCAUAUAACCAGAGAUACACAAGAAAGACCAAAGUUGAUGAAGAUGAUGAUGUUGAAUUCAAAAACAUUCGUCGCAAAUUUUAUGCCUAUUCGUACCAUUGUUAUAUAUCGUGGUGGUGGUAGUAUGUUUCUAUACCAUUCUAUACCACCCGGCGCCUUCAAUGAUCUCAGGGUAUGAUUCUAAUCAUCAUCAUCAUCAUUAUUAUUCCCGAACUUGGCGUCCAUUCUUACAUCGCCACGAUGGCUGUUUUCUUUCUACUGUGUUUGUGUAUGUAUGUAUGCAUGUAUGAUAGAGUGUGCUACACAACAACAACAAACAAAACAAACACGCACUAUAUUUUCAAUGAUUCUACAACGAUGAAGAAUUAUUAUUCGCAUUAUUAUCCACUGUUUUCAUCAUUAUCACAUCGAAUGACCAUUGUCAUUCGAUUCAUCAAGAUUGAAAUUAUUCUAUUUAACAUUAUCGAUGUGAUGACAUAUUCGAUAAAUGUGAAUAUUUUCAAAUUGAAAUUCAUCAAAUAUUUCAAAAUAGCCCAAUUUCUAUCAUAUAUUGACAUUGUGUUUACGACGAAAAAUGUUUUUUUUGUUCAUUCAAUUAUCAUUGAAUUUUGUUUUUUUCCAUUUUCA